AUAUAGCCGGCCCCAAAUUUUCGGAAUAAAGAUUUAGUUGAGUUGAGUUAUACAAAUGAAUUAAUGAUGACAAUAAAAAGAAAGUUACUAAAGAGAAAAAGAAAUUUGGUUCGCUGAAUUGUGACUUGGAUAGGUUAUAGAUUUGAUUCAAGCUGGUCUCUAGUUUGAUUCGGGGGUUGGAUUUGCUUCUUUUGUUUAUUUUUUUUAUUUAAAUUUAAUCUGUUAUGAAUAAAAGAUAUAAUCUAUAUCAUACCAGUGGGUUUACAUAUUUAUGUUAGUAAAUGUGAUUUCUGUAAGAAAAUUUCUAUUCAAUGAAAAAUUGGGUAGAAAUUUUGAUAGAGCAUGUUGUGAUACAUUUGAUUUUAGGGAGCAAAUUUAAAAAAAAAAAAUUGCACAGUACAAAGUUUGCUGUAAGCUAUGCCACCCGGAUCAUGAACAAGCCACUAUUGGAGACAAUGAGUAGAAAUUCUGCAGCUCCAGAACCCUAGGAGGGAACUCAGACGAGAAAAUCGACACACGCGUUUUGCUUAUUUCCAAAUGCAAGGUACCUUAAUAGCAAUUUUAGAAGCUUUUGUCUUCAAUUUCUCACCUUCUGAAAGAUGGCAACAGCUAGAAGUCUCUGAUUUGGACUUUGUUGAAGUGAUUUUUUUACCUCUUUUUGUGGUGGAGAUGGCAAAAAUAAAAAAUCUCAAACACAUCAUCAAUCAAGAUGAUUUGUGGGAAGUCUGCUUCUACUGCCAAGAAUUUCACCUCCCUUUUCAUUCUCCAGUGACCAUAUAGAGGGCUAGCGUUAUUUCAGCUCUGCGCUACCCUUUUAGCUAAAGAGUGAAGAGAAUUUGUUUGGUAAGAUUGGCAAAGACGUGGAUCAUCUUGCAAAAUUAAUGAAUUUUUUUAUUAUUGUUAGAAGACCGAUGCAUGUAACGAUGUUGUAAUAUUUUAUGUAGUGCAUCAUAUGGAAUGAUAAAAUAAUAAGAGAUAGAAGUAUAUAAUUUUAAUUUAAUUAUUAGAUUUAUAAAAAUAAUUUUAUAUUUAUAAUUUUUUGAGAUUUAUUAUGUAUAGAUAUUUUGUAUAUUAUUAAUUUAUAUUUUAUAUAGAGUGACACCACCAUCAUCAGGGCGUGUAAGUUCUGCCUGUCAACUCCCUCCACAGAUUGCCGGGUUUGGUCAUGAUUGUUUACUAAAGGCCCUUACUCUGUUUUCUGGAAGAUGAUUCUUUUGGUUGUGAGCUUUGUGUUUGCUUUCUGUUCAAGAAUCCGAUGAUCCUCUUCCAGGCGACGAUCAAAAGCUAGCAAUGUUGUGGAUGCAUUGCUUCCUCCUUUUUCGAUUAGCUCUAAGGUUCUGAGUUGUGGGCCUUUGGGACAUUUGUACUGUAACGUUAGCUCCAUGGGCCUCCUAUUUUAUAACUUAAAGAUCCUUGACUUUGUAUUGUUGGGUUGCUUUUAGGCUUGAGCUUGUAUUAAUUCCUCUUUCAAUGAAAUCAUUUUACUUUUGUGCUGAAA
rnacentral:misc_RNA from 1 species